UAGGGAAUCUUCCACAAUGGGCGAAAGCCUGAUGGAGCAACGCCGCGUGUGUGAUGAAGGGUUUCGGCUACGUAAAACACUGUUGUAAGAGAAGAAUGACGUUGAGAGUAACUGUUCAAUGUGUGACGGUAUCUUACCAGAAAGGAACGGCUAAAUACGUGCCAG
rnacentral:rRNA from 1 species